GACGAACCGAGCGAACGUUGUUCGGAAUCACUGGGCUUAAAGGGCGCGUAGGCGGGCUGUCAAGUCUGGGGUGAAAUCCCGCGGCUCAACCGUGGAACUGCCUCAGAUACUGACGGCCUCGAGGGAGGUAGGGGCGAGCGGAACGGGUGGUGGAGCGGUGAAAUGCGUUGAUAUCACUCGGAACUCCGGUGGCGAAAGCGGCUCGCUGGACCUCUUCUGACGCUGAGGCGCGAAAGCUAGGGGAGCAAACGGG
rnacentral:rRNA from 1 species